rnacentral:rRNA from 1 species
CUCCUACGGGAGGCUGCAGUGGGGAAUAUUGGACAAUGGGGGCAACCCUGAUCCAGCAACGCCGCGUGAAUGAAGAAGGUCUUAGGAUUGUAAAGUUCUUUUACUUGGGAGCAAAUAUCAUAAGUUAAAAGCUAAUGGUAAUGAGAGUACCAAGGGAAUAAGCACCGGCUAACUACGUGCCAGCAGCCGCGGUAAUACGUAGGGUGCGAGCGUUAAUCGGAAUUACUGGGCGUAAAGAGUGCGUAGGCGGAUAUGCAAGUUAGAUGUGAAAUACCUGGGCUUAACCUAGGAGGUGCAUUUAAGACUGUAUGUCUAGAGUUUGUCAGAGGGGGGUAGAAUUCCAAGUGUAGCAGUGAAAUGCGUAGAGAUUUGGAGGAAUACCAAUGGCGCAGGCAGCCCCCUGGGAUAAGACUGACGCUGUGGCACGAAAGCGUGGGUAGCAAACAGGAUUAGAUACCCUGGUAGUCCACGCCCUAAACGAUGUCUACUUGCUGUUGGGGAUAAAACCUUAGUAGCGAAGCUAACGCGAGAAGUAGACCGCCUGGGGAGUACGGUCGCAAGAUUAAAACUCAAAGGAAUUGACGGGGACCCGCACAAGCGGUGGAUGAUGUGGAUUAAUUCGAUGCAACGCGAAGAA